CCUGGCGGCAAUAGCGCGGUGGUCCCACCUGACCCCAUGCCGAACUCAGAAGUGAAACGCCGUAGC
rnacentral:rRNA from 1 species